rnacentral:misc_RNA from 1 species
AACCUUAUGGACCUGCGGGCGUAUACCUGCGGAAGGAUCAUUAUAGAGUUUUCUAAACUCCCAACCCAUGUGAACUUACCUUUUGUUGCCUCGGCAGAAGUUAUAGGACUGCUUAUAGCUGCUGCCGGUGGACCAUUAAACUCUUGUUAUUUUAUGUAAUCUGAGCGUCUUAUUUUAAUAAGUCAAAACUUUCAACAACGGAUCU